rnacentral:sRNA from 12 species
CAGCUCCCAGACCGAGGGGGAGUGACUUCUCCCCCAAAGCCCUUGCAGGGUUCAUCGCUGCGAGGGGAUACAGACCGUCCUGUGAUGCCCGUUGAUGGCGGGCAGUUGAGGCACGGAAUCCAAGCAUUUGCUGGCGUGGUAAAGGCAGACCUGGGCACGUUCACUUUUUGUGACAAGGAUUCCG